rnacentral:rRNA from 1 species
GACGAACGCUGGCGGCGUGCCUAAUACAUGCAAGUCGAGCGAAUCACUGGGAGCUUGCUCCCGGUGGUUAGCGGCGGACGGGUGAGUAACACGUGGGCAACCUGCCUGUAAGACUGGGAUAACACCGGGAAACCGGUGCUAGUACCGGAUAAUUCUUUUCUGCACAUGCAGGAAAGCUGAAAGUCGGUUUCGGCUGACACUUACAGAUGGGCCCGCGGCGCAUUAGCUAGUUGGCGAGGUAACGGCUCACCAAGGCGACGAUGCGUAGCCGACCUGGGAGGGUGAUCGGCCACACUGGGACUGAGAAACGGCCCAGACUCCUACGGGAGGCAGCAGUAGGGAAUCUUCCACAAUGGACGAAAGUCUGAUGGAGCAACGCCGCGUGAGCGAUGAAGGCCUUCGGGUCGUAAAGCUCUGUUGUUAGGGAAGAACAAGUACCGGAGUAACUGCCGGUACCUUGACGGUACCUAACCAGAAAGCCACGGCUAACUACGUGCCAGCAGCCGCGGUAA